rnacentral:lncRNA from 1 species
CUCACUCAGAACCCAGGGCCUGAUGAUUUUAACACCUGCUGGCCCUCAAAUUCUUCUGUUGCUUUUCCUCUGCACUCACACUGCCCCAAUCCAGAGCAUCUUCAUUUACACUGAGAUCAUUGCAACAAGUUCUGUACCUUGUCACUUUCCUUCCAACAGCCCCGUACAACCCGAGGCAGGAUCCCCAAAAUUCCCAGAAUUCCUUAGGAAGCAUUUCAAAUAUGUGAUGGGCUGGGAUUUCCCUCGGUUUUACUGGUUUGCAACCUCAUGCAGUGCAGCCCAGGAACAGCUCUGAGUUUUUACAGAACUUCGCCAGUGACAAAUGCACCAGUCUACAGGUGUGGAAUUGGGAACCACUGCAUACAUCCGUCAUAGAAAUCUUCCAGAAAUACUGGCUCAGAGAUGCGGGAUGAUGCCCGCUGGUCCCAGUGACGUCUCAAAACUGGAGCCAGCCUUUGAAGACUUUCCACAUCUGACUGCUCCGAACUCUCACACUGCCUCCUUCUCAAGGCGCCCCUGCAGUCAAGGCCACGGACUUGGUUUCCUCCCAGCACCUCGUGGACAGCCUCCCAUGAGAAUCUGUGCUAGCUCCAUUCCCUCCUCACCCUCUUCCAGGAAGCUUCUGCAAACUCUUGCUUCCCGGCUCCCCAGGAAGCCUGCCUUCUGGACCCUUCUUCUGACACGUGGCUUCUGCCUAAAUGUAGUUUCUCUUUCUCCAUCUGGGCCCAUGUUAGGCAGAGGACAACUGCUUGGCAGCUGCUCUGCCACCCCCAGGCCUCUCCAGCCAAAGUAAAACUGAGGGGCUGGUCUGUCCCUCACCGCCUGGUGUCCCUGGAGCCCAGCCCAGGGCCUUUCAAACAGGAGAGGUCCAGUACUUGACUGGUAAUGACCAUGAUGCUAUCAAUCUUUAACUUUUAAAAAAACUAAACACAUUAUUGUUUUUUUUCUUAAGGUUUGUACCAAAGUGGAUAAGAAAGUAUCUCAACGCUUGGACCCAGAACUAUUUCCACCAGAACUAAUGGUAUGCUCAUUUCUCCUGAUUUAUUUCUCUUUUUAUGUCAACUGUAAGUGAAUAAAUAGUCCAUCAGCUCAUCCCCAGAUGAUACUUUCCAGCAUCUUUAACUCAGAUAUCUUAACCUAAAUGUCAAAAGGAAACUUCUUCAAAGCACAACACUCUCUCUCUCAUAACAUUUCUUUUUAGUUUUUCUCCCACUAGAAAUAAAGCCAAGGUGAAAAAGGAUUUAAUAUCUAUCAUGGCAAAAUGGACGUACUCAAAAUACUAAUCGACUUCAUGUCUAUGUGUCCCCAUGGCUAUCUUUCCAUUUUUGUCACCUUCAGUUACCUGUAGAGGGCAUUUCCUCCCAGGCCCUGCCCCGGGGGUGAGCCCACCUGCCCCUGAUCUUUCUUCUAGCAGGAUUCAUCUCCCUCUGUGUCCAAAGCAGGACAGUUAGAGUCUAUCUCAGCACACAAGCAUCUUCAUUCAAAUCCAAGCAAAACCCAGGGUACAAACGGUAAGCAAGUGAGGGCAAUUAUCAGCUCCCUAUCUCAUUUACCUGAUGGCUUGGCUCAGGUUUAAAGCAUUUAACUGCCUACUUUUCUUCCUUUCUUUCUUUUUUGAAACUUGUCUGACCAGGCUUCUCUUGGACUCAUGUGCAAUUGUUUCACAAACGUCUACGGGGAGCCUUCCAAAAGUUAGCACUGAGAUAGACCCUUGGGAUACAGAAAUGAUACACUGUCUGUCCCCUCAGGAGCUCACAGUCAGAUGGAGCCCUCAGACAGACAUGCCUGUGACGAUUAACAAUAGAGCAUGGAGAGGGCUGUAGAGGAGACCUGGGAGCCAGGGUCUGGAAGUGGAGCUGAGAGCAAGAGGUGGGAGAAGGUGGACAAUCCAGAGAGACUUUGCCAAAGAGCCAAGCUUGAGCUAAAUCUUGACUUAUAGAUAGAAGUUAUCAGGAAGCAGGAGGGAGAAAGGAAUGGGAUAUGGAGAGGGAAUUCUGGGUAAAGUAAAAAUCACGUGCUUUGACUCGUGGCUUUGCGGAACUUAGAACUUUCAGUGAAAAGAAACAAUUUCAAAUGCCUAGGGCAUGGCAGGGUGGAGGGUUCACGGAAACCCCACUCCUAUCCCACAGUGUGAGGCUGGAAAGGGAGGAGGAGACCAGAUCCUGAUGAGCUUUUAGUACAUAUUUAAAGAAUAUAAAUUUGUUGUGCAGGUAAUGGAGAGCCAUAAACGGAUUUGAUAAAGGAUAUUUACCAUUCUGAAAGAUCAUUCUGGAUGCCGUAGGAAGUAAAGAUUGGAAGGGGUCACAAGUGAACACAGGGUGAUCGGUGGGGAUCACACCCAGGAGAGGGACAGUGGAGAUGGAGACAGGGGACAGGCGGGAGAGACGGUUAAAGGACAGACUCGGUAGAGCUUGAUGGAGGAUGAGGUAAAGGGGGCGACAGAAGAGGAGGGUUGGGACUGACACAGUGAGAUGCUAAAUUAGGGAUACUGGAGUAGAACCACCUCUGAGAGGACAGAUCAGGAACUCGGGUUCUCACAUACUACUUUGCAGUCCUCUUUUAAGUGAGCUGAAGAAGAGGGAUAAGUAGGUACUUGGAAGCUCAGAGGAGAGGUGAGGUUUGAGGGUUUAAAUUGACAGAUCGUUUAGGAUCAAAGUCAUGGGGAUGCACAGAGCUGAGACGAGUUCCUGGGUCUAAGUUCCGAGGAAAUUCCAACAGCUAAUGUGUGGUUGGAAGGACGAGUAGACCCAAGAGAUUGAGAACGAGAAGCUAGAGAAGGGGCAUACAAAUCAGAAGAGUGGGCUAUUCCAGAAGCAGGGAAAGAGAAUGUCCUGAAAAGGAGAGAAUAAUGUGGCAGCAAGUAUCGUUGAGAGAGCAGAUAGGAUGAGAACUGCAAACAUCGAAGGAAACAGUCCUGUUCGACCUUCACAAAAGCAGAAAGGAGUGUGUGUGUGGAGGGUGGGAAGGGAAGAAACGGAGAAAGGGAGGCAAGAGAGUACUUUGCAAAAUUGGCCAUGGGAGGAAAAAGAGUGGGUAGUAGCUGGGAUUGAAGAGUUUGGGUUUUAUCCUUUUUAUUAGUGAAAGAGGCUUGAACGUUGAUGAGAAGAAUACAAAUAAGAGAUGCUGAAAACCUCAGCGAUGGAAGAGGUGGGUCCAAGGCAUUGACUGAGGAACAGCUUCUCUAUUUCUUUCAGAAACAUUUCAUUGAAAUGCUCUUCUCAAGUCUGGGGAGGAGUCCCCCUGUGUCCCCUAGAACUCUGUCCUUCCCCUGUAGGGUAUUUUCUACCAGUUGGUGAUCACCUGCAUACUUGCUAGGUGGUGUGUGUGAGCCACCUGUGAGGGCAGGGUGGCAUUCACCCCUGUGACACCAUUGCCCAGCACAGUGAGUCUCAAAUUUUUUUUUUAUGUCCUUAAAAAAGGAUGGAGGACCCUAAAGAGCUUUUGUUUAUGUGGGUUAUAUGUAUUCACAUUUGAAGGAUUUGAAAUCAAAACUGGGAAAUAUUUUACACAUUUAUUUAUUUGAGAAUAACAUGGGUGAACCCAUUACCCAUUAGCAUGAGUACAAUAUAGUUCAUGAAGAAUAACUCUCUUUUUCCAUAAGAUAAAUCAGUGAGAAGAGUGGGAUUGUCUUAGAAUUUUUGAAAAUCUCUUCAAUACUGACUUAGAAGAGGGCUGCUGGAUUUGCAUAUCUGCUUCCAUAUUCAGCCAGUCAUGGUACCACACAUGAUGCAACUUUUGGAAAGCUCUUUGACAACACACGAGAGAUUGAGAGAGAAGAAGGUAAAUAUUAUUGUAAAAUAGUUUUGACCUUGGGGCCUGUGAAAGGAAUCCAUGGACUCUGAGAACCUCUGGCCCAACCUGAGAGAUAAACAUGAAUUACUUCAUUAACUGGAGCUUUUAACUCAUUCCCAGAAACUCCCAUCCCUCUGUCAUUCUUUCCAAAAAACAAAACAAACAAACAAACAAAAAAAAACCAUACAACUUAAGGCAAGAUUUAUAGAAGUCUUAUGAAAAAAGAAAUUCUCCUUUAGGCAAUUGGCCUUUAUUGCUCAAUUUCCAAGCAGCUUCCAUGGUGAAUUUUAUUCAGGAUUGAAAUUAUUCAAUGUGAAAUAAUUUGUGGAAACGUGGAAACUUCACCCAAAGAUCUGCCAUUUUGACGGCAUCCACAAAGAGCACACUCAUUUUUGCAUAAAAUAUUUUUAUAGGGGCAUCAUCAAAUUUAAUUUCAAAUAAAUGAUCUCAUUUCGCUUGAGAAAUGAUUCCUUCAGUGAUUAUUAACCAGCAGAAGUUGUCUCGACCAUGCUUUUUCCACAUGCUGGAACCAUUUCAGCUUUAGAGGACUCUGGGCAGGGAGGCUGGUGCCCUCAGGUUCAUGGUCCUGUUCACGUUUAGCUGUCUGUGUCACCUCCGCUUGGUCACUUCCCCUCUUUGAGCCUCAUUGUUAUUUUCUUCCAUAAAACUUAGACCAGUGGUUCUCACCCAUGUGAAGAAACAAUCAGAAGUCAAGGACUUUUCCUUGACUACCAUACUCUUUGCUAAACUCCAUAAAAUAGUGGCAAAUUUAGUUAGGCUGCAAGGAAUAGCAAAAAUUUUAGACUUAGGAAAUAUGAUUUAUUAUAUGGUCCCUGUACCUGGUCAAAACUAGGAAUACAGAAAUUAAAAAGAAGAGAAAGGAGGGAUUUUUUGUUUGUGUGUGGUGUUUGUUUGUGUGUUUGUCUUUUGUCUACUUAGGGCCACACCUGAGGCAUCUGGAGGUUCCCAGGCUAGGGGUCAAAUCAGAGCUGUCGGCCUACACCACAGCCACAGCAACGCAGGAUCUGAGCCACUUCUGCAACCUACACCACAGCUCACCUCAAUGCUGGGUCCUUAACCCAUUGAGCGAGGCCAGAGAGCGAACCCGAGUCCUCAUAGAUACUAGUCGGGUUGGUUAACCACUGAGCCUCGACAGGAACUCUUGGGGAGAAGAGGGAGUUCUUGUUGUGGCUCAGUGAAAACAAACCUGACUAGUAUCCAUGAGGAUGCAGAUUCAAUCCCUGGCCUUGCUUAGGGGGUUAAGGAUCCAGCAUUGCGGUGAGCUGUUGUGGUGUGGGCCGCAGAAGUGACUUGGUUCCCGGGUUGUUGAGGCUGUGGUGUAGGCCGGCAACUACAGCUCUGAUUUGAUCCCUAGCCUGGGAACUUCCAUA